AUUGAACGCUGGCGGCAGGCUUAACACAUGCAAGUCGAACGAGUGGCGGACGGGUGAGUAAUGCUUGGGAAUCUAGCUUAUGGAGGGGGAUAACUACGGGGAACUGUAGCUAAUACCGCGUACCAUAGGAUGAGCCCAAGUGGGAUUCGGUAGUUGGUGAGGUAAAGGCUCACAAAGCCGACGAUCCCUAGCUGGUCUGAGAGGAUGAGCAGCCACAUUGGGACGGAGACACGGCCCAGACUCCUACGGGAGGCAGCAGUGGGGAAUAGUGCACAAGGGGCGCAAGCCUGAUGCAGCCAUGCCGCGGGUAUGAAGAAGGCCUUCGGGUUGUAAAGUACUUUCAGUCGGGAGGCGUUACCGAAAGAAGAAGCACCGGCUAACUCCGUGCCAGCAGCCGCGGUAAUUC
rnacentral:rRNA from 1 species